ensembl:snRNA U6 U6 spliceosomal RNA
GUGCUCACUUUGGCAGCACAUAUACUAAAAUUAGAACAAUACAGACAAGGUUAGCAUGGCCCCUGCGCGAGGAUGACAUGCAAAUUCAUGAAGCGUUCCAUAUUAAA